rnacentral:sRNA from 2 species
GCCAUUGUUCUCUAGGGUUCCGCAGCGAUCUAAACCGCUGGCCUGGUCCGAGAGAGGACGCACAGCCAAUAGGCUGUGUCCACGGAGGGAGAAAAGCCCGGGAGGA